rnacentral:lncRNA from 1 species
GAAGAACCUUUUCCCAAAAGACUGGCCUUAGUGAAACAGAAAACAACAUAAAGGCAUAUGUUCAAGCAUUGGAAGGGAACUAAGAUCAACUCAAAAUGGUGUGUCUGGCAUAAGGGAAUCUCACGAACUCAGGCAGGAACAGCAGAGCUCCAGGUCAAACCUGAGGCAGGCACUGUGUUAGUAAUUCUGGAAUAAGGAGGUGAAUAUUGCAGCUGUGGAGCAGCUGAGGCGUUCACACUUAAUGCUCAGACCUCAUCAGACUCCACACAAGAACAGUUCACCUCAAUAUGGGCAGCAGGUCAUAGGACAAGGACUCUUUAAGUAGGUAAAGACUGCGUGAAGAGACAACUUAGCAGAGUGAGAGAACUUACAC